rnacentral:rRNA from 1 species
UAUCUCUGUAGAGUCUGCAUAUCAAUAAGCGGAGGAAAAGAAACUAACAAGGAUUCCCCUAGUAACGGCGAGUGAAGCGGGAAGAGCUCAAAUUUGAAAUCUUCAAGGUUUGACCUUGACGAAUUGUAGUUUAAAGAAGUGUUUUCGGUUAGAGGAGUAGUAAAAGUUCUUUGGAAUAGGACAUCAUAGAGGGUGAGAAUCCCGUAUUUGACUAUUCUUUCUAGCUUUGUGAUACACUUUCAAAGAGUCGGAUUGUUUGGGAAUGCAGUCCAAAAUGGGUGGUAAAUUUCAUCUAAAGCUAAAUAUUGGCGAGAGACCGAUAGCGAACAAGUACCGUGAGGGAAAGAUGAAAAGAACUUUGAAAAGAGAGUUAAACAGUACGUGAAAUUGUCAAGAGGGAAGCGUUUGACACCAGUGUUGUUUUUCCGAAAAUCAAUUAAAAAUUGAUUCAUGCCAGGUUGUAUUGACCUUAUCAGCUUGCAAUUUGGUUUUGGGUCUCUUUUUGAUGCACUUUUCGGUUAACAAGUCAACAUCAAUUUCCUUUGCUGUAAAAAGGUAAGAGGAAGGUGGCUUUCAAUUUCGGUAGAAGUGUUUAUAGCCUUGUAUCCUCUGCAGUCGGGGAGAUUGAGGUCUGCAGCGUAGAUCCUUCGGGGUUAGAUACAUUUGUGCUAAGUUAUAGCUUUUCAUAGACAACUUGUUGACUAUGUUUAGUCUUGUAGCUUACUCGCUUAUGCUAUUUUACCUACGCUUAGGAUGUUGAGCGCAUGUCUCUCUCU